rnacentral:lncRNA from 10 species
UGUGGCUUGAACUGGGCUUGAGCAGUGGGAAGGAUUUGGAGAGCGGAGGAAUGAAGGAGAGCAGAGAGGAGAGGCUUGGAGAAAAAUGAGAAGUCUCUCCAGCCCCAAUGACGGCAAGCACCCUGGAGCUGAGGGGGCUGAGUGGCGGCUGUGCCCUUUGGACAGAUCAUUCUCCUCUGGGUCUCUGCUCACAGACCUUCCAUCAAGAAAUUCACUACAGUGUGUUGGAACAGUCUAUGUACCUGACUACCACACAAGGGCUGUUGUAAGGAUCAAAUGGCAUCAUGAAUGGAGGGUACCAAGUCCUGCACCCAGCCUGCAGUGACUAGCACCUGCUCCCUGCUGAACAUGGUGGCUGGGGCUGGACAUGGUCCUUGGGGGUGUGAUCUGAGCAGCCUGCAGCAUUCUGGGCCUUUCAACUGCCGCAUCCUGGUACCAGUCUCAUGCUUCCUGGUACCCUACAGAUGGCUGUCUCCUGGUGGAGUCACCAGGUUGGAGGGGUCCUCAGAAUGCCAACAGAACAGAGCAGCCCUGAGCUCCGGCACCUGUCACUGUGGCUUGACUGGAUACAUAUCUCCAGACCAAGGCAAGCAUCUCUGGCAGAACCCACUGUGGAGAUCCUAAAUUGGCACCCCGUAGAGUGAGCUGUCUGAUUCUACAAAGGCAGUAUUUCUAGGUUUCAAAGGAACUGAAUAAUUUAAAAUGCACAAGACAAAAAGUGGGAUUAAGGUGAUCUGAUAGGCUCUCCAGGCUGGGGUAUCAAUUAUACUCUCAACUCGUAAAGCCUUAUUUGUGAGAUUCAGAAUUUAUUAUCUGUCUGAAGCACUAAUUACCAGGUUUCUCUCUUUUAAUUUUACAGGUCUCUUCUCAGAUUUAUUUUUCUCUUUUUUCCCUCCCACUGGGGACAAAUAGCUUCCAUUCCUGAAGGGAAGUUGCCUGCUUGGAGAUGGACAGAGGAAGAUAUUUGGGUUCAGCUUAUCCCCUCUGGGCACUUUGGGGGAAGCAGCAUGGGUUGGGGCAGGAGAACUCUAAUGUGUAUGUGUUAAUAAACUUACUGUUUUCUAAAAUUUUGUCAAAGGUAUGCAUGUUUAUAGUUUAAAGAGGUGAAGAGUUCCAUGUGGCCUACUGUAUUUUUCCUUCCUUGUAUAACUUUUAUUUUCCUAGGAGCUAAUAACUAUCUUGUUCUUUUGUUUGCUUGCCUUUCUCUGUACUUAUCACUAAUUCAACUCCAGAGUCUUUACUGAUUGCCUAUUCCAAUAUUUUCACCCACAUCAGGUGCUCUAUCAAUUUCAUUGUCCUGAAGAGUUUCCCUGACAGCCUUCUGACCUGG